GGAUUUACCCAUUGGUCAGGCUUAAUUGUCUGUACUGGUGAGAUAAAUCUCUACCUUCUGAGGAACUUUCAUGUCAUUAAUUUGGUGUGAUUGGAAAUCAGGACUGUUACCUUGAAAAAAUUAGAGUGCUUAAAGCAGGCUAUCGCCUGAAUACAUUAGCAUGGAAUAAUGAAAUAGGACGGCAUGGUUCUAUUUUGUUGGUUUCUAGGAUCACCGUA
rnacentral:rRNA from 1 species